rnacentral:rRNA from 1 species
UGAUAGGUCGGGUGUGUAAGCGUAGCGAUACGUUGAGCUAACCGAUACUAAUGAACCGUGAGGCUUAACCUUACAACGCCGAAGGUGUUU